AAUGAACGUUGGCGGCGUGGAUUAGGCAUGCAAGUCGAGCGGGUGUAGCAAUACAUCAGCGGCGAAAGGGAGAGUAACGCGUAGCUACGUACCCCGGAGUCCGGAAUAGCCAGCCGAAAGGCUGGGUAAUGCCGGAUGAUGUCUCCGGACUAAAGGUGUGAUUCCGCUUUGGGAGCGGGCUGCGUUGUACUAGCUAGUUGGUAGGGUAAUGGCCUACCAAGGCGAUGAUGCAUACCGGGCGUGAGAGCGUGGCCCGGCUCACUGGGACUGAGACACUGCCCAGACACCUACGGGUGGCUG
rnacentral:rRNA from 1 species